GACGAACGCUGGCGGCGUGCUUAACACAUGCAAGUCGAACGGAAAGGCCCUGCUUGCAGGGUGCUCGAGUGGCGAACGGGUGAGUAACACGUGGGUGAUCUGCCCCUUACUUUGGGAUAAGCCUGGGAAACUGGGUCUAAUACUGGAUAGGACCAUGCUGUAGGUGGUGUGGUGGAAAGAUUUUUUCGGUAAGGGAUGAGCUCGCGGCCUAUCAGCUUGUUGGUGGGGUAAUGGCCUACCAAGGCGUCGACGGGUAGCCGGCCUGAGAGGGUGGACGGCCACAUUGGGACUGAGAUACGGCCCAGACUCCUACGGGAGGCAGCAGUGGGGAAUAUUGCACAAUGGGCGCAAGCCUGAUGCAGCGACGCCGCGUGGGGGAUGACGGCCUUCGGGUUGUAAACUCCUUUCAGCCAUGACGAAGCCUCUUUUGGGGUGACGGUAGUGGCAGAAGAAGCACCGGCUAACUACGUG
rnacentral:rRNA from 1 species